CUCUCUCUCUCUCUCGAUCUCUCGCGCUCUUUUUCUCUCUUUUGAUCUCCCCUCUCACGAACUCCUCUUCUCUUCCUAACCAUCCCCUCCCACUCGAUCUCACGAACUCCUCUUCAUCAAUGGAUGAUUUCGAGUUUUUGCACUCCCGGUCGUGAAGGAUCUAAAACCUCUCUCUGCUGAAAGAUUCGAAACCCCUCUCUCACUCCCACUCACAAAAAAUCAAAAACCCCUUUCCGCUGAUAGAUCUGAAAGCAGAGCUCUCUCUGCUACUUGUCGCAAAAGUCAUAGGCAGAGCACCAAACAAGCUCUUUAAGGAAAGAGGGGGAUUUCCCUUGGAAAAUGCAUGGUGUACCCUAUUGUGAAGCUUAAUAUGGUGUUGUGGGCUGCGGCAUGGUUCGAUCCCGAGCCAAUUGAUUGUUGCUUCACUAACAUCAAUCUAGUGUCUAGGGACCAAGAACAUGUGGAGGAAGGGAUGCCAACUGUUUGACGAAAUUCCCAAAGCCCAUGUUGCACAGGCAUGCACCUCUUAUGUGCAUGCUUUAUAUGCACAACACUAGCAAGCUUAAAACAUGCAUAUAUGGUUAUACAGCCACCACCUUCAGGUAUAUACCCUACCUCCUCCUCCAAACAUGUGGAAGUGUAACCACUGAAGUAAGUUGUAAUGCAUUUGUGGACUUAUGGAAUUGAAAAUAUAGCCUAGGGAGCAGGGACGAGUUGCCUUAGCAUGCUGGCUGCUAUGCUAAGGAAACACUCUUUUAUGCAAGCUUGGGCUUGGCAAUAAGAACACAAAACUCUUACAGAUGCUAUGAGCAUGCAAUUAAUUACAAAGGUUUAUUAAAAUCAACCAGUUGCUUUGAGAAAUAAAAUUAUGGUUCCAAUAGAAUAUCCUAUGCCUAUGCAAUUCAAUUGUUUUGCUAAGCUAUGGUUUUGGGAAAAGUGUGUCAUGAUCAAGGGAGGUGAUUCAAUAAUUGUGUAUGGAAAGAACCGUUGCUUUUGUAAUUGGUCAUGAAUAUUUUUGUCAUAGCAAGGUACUGCGGUAUUUUUGUUAUCGUUCUAUGGUACAUUUUGAAGGGCUUUCCUUGAUGUGAUGCAGUCCCAAUUUAUUCAUUUUUGUAAUAUGUGCAGGCUUGUCAAUGUUCAUAAUUGCUAGCAUGUUUGAUGAUCUUUAAUUUAGUGUUUUGAUGGUCUGAUACAUUGGUUUUUCCUUUACCCAAAAUAGCAUUUGGAUGUCUGCACUCUGCAGUAUGCAGCAUGAUUUUUUUUUCUUUUUUUGUUUUGUUUUGCUUUGUUUUGUUUUUGUUUUUUGUUUUUUGGUUUCUUUUAAGAACUUCCCAUCCCACUUAGAAAUUUUAGAAAGCGCUUGUAUAAAAAUGUUGUUUUAACCUUGCUGUCCAUAUGUGCUAUGAGUGAUUCAGUAGAAAGAGAUAUGGAGCUGUUGGUGAGAAAUGAACAUUCAUCAUGGCCUGAGGGUAAACAGGAAAAUGCUUUGUUAUGGCUAACCAUAUCAGAAAUCUCCAUUUUGUACAUUGCAAAUGCAAACAGAAUGUAAUCAAAUUUCUUUCAAGUGGGACAUCCAUUGCUUGACAAAAGGAAAAAAAAUGUAUUGGCCCUGUAAGUAUUUUUGGACUGACAGCUAUCUCUGUUGGUGCAAAUUAGCUGGACUGUCCAAAUCAUCUUACCAUGAAGCCAGAUAUCCAUGGUUUUUAGCUCAUUGUUUUGUUUUCAAAGCUAAUAUUCUUACUCACGGUUGUCUCUUGGACUGACGUAAAUCCCUAAUUAUAUGCAUCUUGAUGGUUCUUUCCUCUAUUAAUGCAUUUUGUACUUGGUUUUUAUUAGCUCAUGAU